rnacentral:rRNA from 1 species
CAGGUUUACCUGUGUGACUGCGUACCUUUUGUAUAAUGGGUCAGCGACUUAUAUUCUGUAGCAAGGUUAACCGUAUAGGGGAGCCGUAGGGAAACCGAGUCUUAACCGGGCGUUAAGUUGCAGGGUAUAGACCCGAAACCCGGUGAUCUAGCCAUGGGCAGGUUGAAGGUUGGGUAACACUAACUGGAGGACCGAACCGACUAAUGUUGAAAAAUUAGCGGAUGACCUGUGGCUGGGGGUGAAAGGCCAAUCAAACCGGGAGAUAGCUGGUUCUCCCCGAAAGCUAUUUAGGUAGCGCCUCGUGAAUUCAUCUCCGGGGGUAGAGCACUGUUUCGGCUAGGGGGCCAUCCCGGCUUACCAACCCGAUGCAAACUGCGAAUACCGGAGAAUGUUAUCACGGGAGACACACGGCGGGUGCUAACGUCCGUCGUGAAGAGGGAAACAACCCAGACCGCCAGCUAAGGUCCCAAAGUCAUGGUUAAGUGGGAAACGAUGUGGGAAGGCCCAGACAGCCAGGAUGUUGGCUUAGAAGCAGCCAUCAUUUAAAGAAAGCGUAAUAGCUCACUGGUCGAGUCGGCCUGCGCGGAAGAUGUAACGGGGCUAAACCAUGCACCGAAGCUGCGGCAGCGACGCUGAUGCGUUGUUGGGUAGGGGAGCGUUCUGUAAGCCUGUGAAGGUGGCCUGUGAGGGUUGCUGGAGGUAUCAGAAGUGCGAAUGCUGACAUAAGUAACGAUAAAGCGGGUGAAAAGCCCGCUCGCCGGAAGACCAAGGGUUCCUGUCCAACGUUAAUCGGGGCAGGGUGAGUCGACCCCUAAGGCGAGGCCGAAAGGCGUAGUCGAUGGGAAACGGGUUAAUAUUCCCGUACUUGGUGUUACUGCGAAGGGGGGACGGAGAAGGCUAUGUUGGCCGGGCGACGGUUGUCCCGGUUUAAGCGUGUAGGUGUGUGUUCCAGGUAAAUCCGGUUCACUUUAACACUGAGGCGUGAUGACGAGGCACUACGGUGCUGAAGCAACAAAUGCCCUGCUUCCAGGAAAAGCCUCUAAGCAUCAGGUAACAUCAAAUCGUACCCCAAACCGACACAGGUGGUCAGGUAGAGAAUACCAAGGCGCUUGAGAGAACUCGGGUGAAGGAACUAGGCAAAAUGGUGCCGUAACUUCGGGAGAAGGCACGCUGACACGUAGGUGAAGUGAUUUACUCAUGGAGCUGAAGUCAGUCGAAGAUACCAGCUGGCUGCAACUGUUUAUUAAAAACACAGCACUGUGCAAACACGAAAGUGGACGUAUACGGUGUGACGCCUGCCCGGUGCCGGAAGGUUAAUUGAUGGGGUCAGCGCAAGCGAAGCUCCUGAUCGAAGCCCCGGUAAACGGCGGCCGUAACUAUAACGGUCCUAAGGUAGCGAAAUUCCUUGUCGGGUAAGUUCCGACCUGCACGAAUGGCGUAAUGAUGGCCAGGCUGUCUCCACCCGAGACUCAGUGAAAUUGAACUCGCUGUGAAGAUGCAGUGUACCCGCGGCAAGACGGAAAGACCCCGUGAACCUUUACUAUAGCUUGACACUGAACAUUGAGCCUUGAUGUGUAGGAUAGGUGGGAGGCUUUGAAGCGUGGACGCCAGUCUGCAUGGAGCCGGCCUUGAAAUACCACCCUUUAAUGUUUGAUGUUCUAACGUGGACCCGUGAUCCGGGUUGCGGACAGUGUCUGGUGGGUAGUUUGACUGGGGCGGUCUCCUCCUAAAGAGUAACGGAGGAGCACGAAGGUUGGCUAAUCCUGG